CGUAGGGCGCAAGCGUUAUCCGGAAUUAUUGGGCGUAAAGAGCUCGUAGGCGGUUUGUCGCGUCUGCCGUGAAAGUCCGGGGCUCAACUCCGGAUCUGCGGUGGGUACGGGCAGACUAGAGUGAUGUAGGGGAGACUGGGAUUCCUGGUGUAGCGGUGAAAUGCGCAGAUAUCAGGAGGAACACCGAUGGCGAAGGCAGGUCUCUGGGCAUUAACUGACGCUGAGGAGCGAAAGCAUGGGGAGCGAACAGG
rnacentral:rRNA from 1 species